rnacentral:rRNA from 1 species
UACCGCAUAUGCUCUACGGAGGAAAGUGGGGGACCUGCAAGGGCCUCAUGUAUGGGAGCGGCCGAUGUCCGAUUAGCUAGUUGGUGGGGUAAAGGCUUACCAAGGCGACGAUCGGUAGCUGGUCUGAGAGGAUGAUCAGCCACACUGGGACUGAGACACGGCCCAGACUCCUACGGGAGGCAGCAGUGGGGAAUUUUGGACAAUGGGGGSCAACCCUGAUCCAGCCAUGCCGCGUGCGGGAAGAAGGCCUUCGGGUUGUAAACCGCUUUUGUCUGGGAAGAAAAGGCGCUCUUGAAUACGGGGCGUUCUUGACGGUACUGGAAGAAUAA